rnacentral:rRNA from 1 species
AACGAACGCUGGCGGCAUGCCUAACACAUGCAAGUCGAACGAGACCUUCGGGUCUAGUGGCGCACGGGUGCGUAACGCGUGGGAACCUGCCUUUAGGUUCGGAAUAACUCAGAGAAAUUUGAGCUAAUACCGGAUGAUGUCUUCGGACCAAAGAUUUAUCGCCUUUAGAUGGGCCCGCGUUGGAUUAGCUAGUUGGUGGGGUAAAGGCCUACCAAGGCGACGAUCCAUAGCUGGUCUGAGAGGAUGAUCAGCCACACUGGGACUGAGACACGGCCCAGACUCCUACGGGAGGCAGCAGUGGGGAAUAUUGGACAAUGGGCGAAAGCCUGAUCCAGCAAUGCCGCGUGAGUGAUGAAGGCCUUAGGGUUGUAAAGCUCUUUUACCCGAGAUGAUAAUGACAGACCGGGAGAAUAAGCUCCGGCUAACUCCGUG